AGGGAGCCAAGGGAGAGCCAGUCUAGAAGAGGCACGCUCAACUUCAGUCCAAGCACCCUCCUGGCCCACGCCAAACAGCCUCCUGGACUGUGACCUGGGGACCAGCAGAGGAAGGGAUGGAGAACAGUUGUUGGAUUUUUGCCACCAAGCACCCAUUACUGCCUCUUUUGGUGACAGCAUUGCAAAUUGCCUGAGGAACCCACCUCUCUGAAGAUUCUCCAGCCACAUGCUUUGAAGAUCAUCAUGUGCAAACUGAGAAUGAAGCUGAUACAGCAGCAGGCGGAGUCAGGAGGAGAGAAACUAAGACCUGAUGAUACAACUGGAGCCCUGCAUCGAACCUCUGGACUUUCCCAUGGACCCUGCCUGGACAACUACUCCUCGAUCCUUUCCGGAUGGCACCUUUGUAUUUCCUCCUUGGAGAAGUCCUUGUUUGUGAUGGCCGCACCCCCAGCUGGCAAAUGUGUGUGGCUCUCCUCUGGCCCGUCUGAGGUCAAGGUGGGAUAAAGGGAGGCCUGUGCUCACAGCCAAGCUUCCACCCCACCCCGGAACUUCCUGAGAGGUACGCUUCAGGGAGAGAGACAAUGAUGUGUGGCCCUUCCCUCUGCCAGCAGCUCUUCCCAUCCGGCUGUGGAUUAAAGGAGCCUGGGUCACUGCCCAGGCAGAAUAAAGCCUGCAAACAUCC